GAAAGGUGAAAAGGUUUAGGGUAUCCCUUUCGAUAUGGAGGAGAAGAGCGAUGGCGCUCGGCGACAAUGAUGCUUUGCCGCUGGGAUUCGACAUGCGUGGUGCAUUGAACAAGAGCGGCUAUGGCGAUUCAGCGAUUCGAUUUGGAUAGAACUUCCGACCAGAUAAAUGCUCGACGCGUCCGAUCUCGUUCGUUUUCCUGUCAAUGAAGCAGUAAAGUUUGAGACGCUUGCAUCUCAUGUUCUCACAAGUGGUCUUUGGACCACAUUGAGAAGUCCCAGGUACUUUAAGUAGCAUUACUUCACAGCAUUGGUUUCCAAGGUGGAAGAAAUUCUUGGGAGGUCCAAAGAAGCCACGUUGAGUUCUACACUAAAUCUGAGUGCUGGAAGCCGGGUUUGCGUAGCUGGAUGGUUUUUCGUUUAAGCUCGCUAGCAGCAGCGUCGAGAAUUUGGAACGAACUCUCGCUGGUGAUAUAUGUCGGUAUCAGAUGUUUGAGGAGGUGUUGCAGUGCAUUAAGGGGCUCUGGACGGAUGGAGCAGAUGUUGAAACUCGUAGUGUUUCAUUGCAAAUCCGAACGAUGUUUGCUUAUUUGAAUAACUCUCAAGUGAAAGCCGUAUCGAGUACGGUUGCGGCACUUGAGGCGAACGGAGAGCCUUACGUGGGCUAAUACAAGGACCACCGGGUAUUAAUUUGGUGCUCCCACCGAUGCUGGAAGUUAGUUCACGCUUUGUGAAGGUGAACGGCAGCUCCUGAACUACUAUUUGACAGGCAUGGUAGAUUCUCGCGACGUUUUCUAGACUUCGUGCGGAGGAGUUUGAUAACCUCGGACACGAACUACUUGGGACUAUUGAGCUUUUUAUACAAUGAUCUGCCGAGAAUCGAAAAUGCUAUUACGAAGCUUACAGGACUUAUCAGCACCAAUGCCGGGUCGUUUUUGGUCCCACAAAAGUAACCAACUGUUACCUCCUACUGUAAUCAGCAAGAGUCACAGAAUGCUAGAUAUAGUGGGCUGUUCCAGAGACUCCACGGCCAUCUACAGGUUCUCGAACUAUAGUUUUACCUGCGGAAAGUUCAAGAUGGCCCGAAUGUCAUCUUGAGUUCUGCCAUACAAGUUCACAGCGAUAGGCAAACGAGGGAACUCUUUAAAUCCUGCCGAAGUCUUUCCAAAGUGAAAAGAGAAACUACUGCAAUCUUGAGGUUGGAAUAAUCUCACAUAUAAAAGUCAAGUACAUGCAUAAAUGCUCGCCUAGAUUUCCUUUUCAGAGGCUGAAACUGUGGACGAAAUGGAUAUAGUGAUUUAUCCAUUGUGCUUUUUGGAAGAUUAUCGACGUCUGAAAGUCGCGAUAACUCGAGCAAAAGGCGGACGUCGGCCCUGCGGUGCUCCAGAGCUUACGUCUUUUGCUUCGUCCCGGAUCCUCCAUUUUGGACUUACUUCCACGGGUGUUUGAAAGCGUUGAUGGCUUGCUCUCAAGGAAGACUUGCCACGGGUCAUGACUUUAACGGAAGAUCCUUUCGUGAUAAGCAGUGCUACUGCUGAACGACGACGGCAGCGAGCAGACAAAGAGCUCGGGUUUCCUGUUUCAGCAGAAAACGAUGGAAAACCUGGGAAGAACAUCUGUAUUAUAUCAAAGACAGGAUGGUCGAACAAGUAGGAUUUGAUCGAGUGGUAAGAAACUAGUUUUAUUUCGACGA